AGUCGAGGGGCAGCAUCAUCAAAGCUUGCUUUGAUGGAUGGCGACCGGCGCACGGGUGAGUAACACGUAUCCAGCCUGCCGACAACACUGGGAUAGCCUUUCGAAAGAAAGAUUAAUACCGGAUGGCAUAAUUAUUCCGCAUGGGAUAAUUAUUAAAGAAUUUCGGUUGUCGAUGGGGAUGCGUUCCAUUAGGCAGUUGGCGGGGUAACGGCCCACCAAACCUACGAUGGAUAGGGGUUCUGAGAGGAAGGUCCCCCACAUUGGAACUGAGACACGGUCCAAACUCCUACGGGAGGCAGCAGUGAGGAAUAUUGGUCAAUGGACGAGAGUCUGAACCAGCCAAGUAGCGUGAAGGAUGACUGCCCUAUGGGUUGUAAACUUCUUUUAUACGGGAAUAAAGUGAGCCACGUGUGGCUUUUUGUAUGUACCGUAUGAAUAAGGAUCGGCUAACUCCGUGCCAGCAGCCGCGGUAAUACGGAGGAUUCGAGCGUUAUCCGGAUUUAUUGGGUUUAAAGGGAGCGUAGGCGGGUUGUUAAGUCAGUUGUGAAAGUUUGCGGCUCAACCGUAAAAUUGCAGUUGAUACUGGCGACCUUGAGUGCAACAGAGGUAGGCGGAAUUCGUGGUGUAGCGGUGAAAUGCUUAGAUAUCACGAAGAACUCCGAUUGCGAAGGCAGCUUACUGGGUUGUAACUGACGCUGAUGCUCGAAAGUGUGGGUAUCAAACAGGAUUAGAUACCCUGGUAGUCCACACAGUAAACGAUGAAUACUCGCUGUUGGCGAUAUACAGUCAGCGGCCAAGCGAAAGCAUUA
rnacentral:rRNA from 1 species